rnacentral:rRNA from 1 species
CGCAAGCCUGACGGAGCCAGACCGCGUGAGGGAAGAAAGACCUUGGUUCGUAAACCUCUUUUCUCAAGGAAGAAGAAGUGACGGUACUUGAGGAAUCAGCAUCGGCUAACUCCGUGCCAGCAGCCGCGGUAAGACGGAGGAUGCAAGCGUUAUCCGGAAUUAUUGGGCGUAAAGCGUCCGCAGGGGGCUCAUCAAGUCUGCUGUUAAAGGUCGGAGCUCAACUCCGGUUCGGCAGUGGAAACUGGUGAGCUAGAGGGCGACAGGGGUAGAGGGAAUUCCCAGUGUAGCGGUGAAAUGCGUAGAGAUUGGGAAGAACACCGGUGGCGAAAGCGCUCUACUGGGUCGCACCUGACCCUCAGGGACGAAAGCUAAGGUAGCG